AUUGAACGCUGGCGGUAGGCCUAACACAUGCAAGUCGAACGGCAGCACAGUAAGAGCUUGCUCUUACGGGUGGCGAGUGGCGGACGGGUGAGGAAUACAUCGGCAUCUACUUUUUCGUGGGGGAUAACGUAGGUACUCUUACGCUAAUACCUCAUCCGACCUACGGGUGAAAGCAGGGGAUCUUCGGACCUUGCGCGAUCCAAUGAGCCGAUGUCGGAUUAGCUAGUUGGCGGGGUAAAGGCCCACCAAGGCGACGAUCCGUAGCUGGUCUGAGAGGAUGAUCAGCCACACUGGAACUGAGACACGGUCCAGACUCCUACGGGAGGCAGCAGUGGGGAAUAUUGGACAAUGGGCGCAAGCCUGAUCCAGCCAUACCGCGUGGAUGAAGAAGGCCUUCGGGUUGUAAAGCGCUUUUGUUGGGAAAGAAAAGCAGCAGGUUAAUAAACAGCUGUUAUGACGGUACCGAAAGAAUAAGCACCGGCUAACUUCGUG
rnacentral:rRNA from 1 species